rnacentral:rRNA from 1 species
AGCGUACACGGUGGAUGCCCUGGCAGUCAGAGGCGAUGAAGGACGUGCUAAUCUGCGAUAAGCGUCGGUAAGGUGAUAUGAACCGUUAUAACCGGCGAUUUCCGAAUGGGGAAACCCAGUGUGAUUCGUCACACUAUCAUUAACUGAAUCCAUAGGUUAAUGAGGCGAACCGGGGGAACUGAAACAUCUAAGUACCCCGAGGAAAAGAAAUCAACCGAGAUUCCCCCAGUAGCGGCGAGCGAACGGGGAGCAGCCCAGAGCCUGAAUCAGUAUGUGUGUUAGUGGAAGCGUCUGGAAAGGCGCGCGAUACAGGGUGACAGCCCCGUACACAAAAAUGCACAUGCUGUGAGCUCGAUGAGUAGGGCGGGACACGUGGUAUCCUGUCUGAAUAUGGGGGGACCAUCCUCCAAGGCUAAAUACUCCUGACUGACCGAUAGUGAACCAGUACCGUGAGGGAAAGGCGAAAAGAACCCCGGCGAGGGGAGUGAAAAAGAACCUGAAACCGUGUACGUACAAGCAGUGGGAGCACGCUUAGGCGUGUGACUGCGUACCUUUUGUAUAAUGGGUCAGCGACUUAUAUUCUGUAGCAAGGUUAACCGAAUAGGGGAGCCGAAGGGAAACCGAGUCUUAACUGGGCGUUAAGUUGCAGGGUAUAGACCCGAAACCCGGUGAUCUAGCCAUGGGCAGGUUGAAGGUUGGGUAACACUAACUGGAGGACCGAACCGACUAAUGUUGAAAAAUUAGCGGAUGACUUGUGGCUGGGGGUGAAAGGCCAAUCAAACCGGGAGAUAGCUGGUUCUCCCCGAAAGCUAUUUAGGUAGCGCCUCGUGAAUUCAUCUCCGGGGGUAGAGCACUGUUUCGGCAAGGGGGUCAUCCCGACUUACCAACCCGAUGCAAACUGCGAAUACCGGAGAAUGUUAUCACGGGAGACACACGGCGGGUGCUAACGUCCGUCGUGAAGAGGGAAACAACCCAGACCGCCAGCUAAGGUCCCAAAGUCAUGGUUAAGUGGGAAACGAUGUGGGAAGGCCCAGACAGCCAGGAUGUUGGCUUAGAAGCAGCCAUCAUUUAAAGAAAGCGUAAUAGCUCACUGGUCGAGUCGGCCUGCGCGGAAGAUGUAACGGGGCUAAACCAUGCACCGAAGCUGCGGCAGCGACGCUUAUGCGUUGUUGGGUAGGGGAGCGUUCUGUAAGCCUGUGAAGGUGUGCUGUGAGGCAUGCUGGAGGUAUCAGAAGUGCGAAUGCUGACAUAAGUAACGAUAAAGCGGGUGAAAAGCCCGCUCGCCGGAAGACCAAGGGUUCCUGUCCAACGUUAAUCGGGGCAGGGUGAGUCGACCCCUAAGGCGAGGCCGAAAGGCGUAGUCGAUGGGAAACAGGUUAAUAUUCCUGUACUUGGUGUUACUGCGAAGGGGGGACGGAGAAGGCUAUGUUGGCCGGGCGACGGUUGUCCCGGUUUAAGCGUGUAGGCUGGUUUUCCAGGCAAAUCCGGAAAAUCAAGGCUGAGGCGUGAUGACGAGGCACUACGGUGCUGAAGCAACAAAUGCCCUGCUUCCAGGAAAAGCCUCUAAGCAUCAGGUAACAUCAAAUCGUACCCCAAACCGACACAGGUGGUCAGGUAGAGAAUACCAAGGCGCUUGAGAGAACUCGGGUGAAGGAACUAGGCAAAAUGGUGCCGUAACUUCGGGAGAAGGCACGCUGAUAUGUAGGUGAAGUCCCUCGCGGAUGGAGCUGAAAUCAGUCGAAGAUACCAGCUGGCUGCAACUGUUUAUUAAAAACACAGCACUGUGCAAACACGAAAGUGGACGUAUACGGUGUGACGCCUGCCCGGUGCCGGAAGGUUAAUUGAUGGGGUUAGCGCAAGCGAAGCUCUUGAUCGAAGCCCCGGUAAACGGCGGCCGUAACUAUAACGGUCCUAAGGUAGCGAAAUUCCUUGUCGGGUAAGUUCCGACCUGCACGAAUGGCGUAAUGAUGGCCAGGCUGUCUCCACCCGAGACUCAGUGAAAUUGAACUCGCUGUGAAGAUGCAGUGUACCCGCGGCAAGACGGAAAGACCCCGUGAACCUUUACUAUAGCUUGACACUGAACAUUGAGCCUUGAUGUGUAGGAUAGGUGGGAGGCUUAGAAGUGUGGACGCCAGUCUGCAUGGAGCCGACCUUGAAAUACCACCCUUUAAUGUUUGAUGUUCUAACGUUGACCCGUAAUCCGGGUUGCGGACAGUGUCUGGUGGGUAGUUUGACUGGGGCGGUCUCCUCCUAAAGAGUAACGGAGGAGCACGAAGGUUGGCUAAUCCUGGUCGGACAUCAGGAGGUUAGUGCAAUGGCAUAAGCCAGCUUGACUGCGAGCGUGACGGCGCGAGCAGGUGCGAAAGCAGGUCAUAGUGAUCCGGUGGUUCUGAAUGGAAGGGCCAUCGCUCAACGGAUAAAAGGUACUCCGGGGAUAACAGGCUGAUACCGCCCAAGAGUUCAUAUCGACGGCGGUGUUUGGCACCUCGAUGUCGGCUCAUCACAUCCUGGGGCUGAAGUAGGUCCCAAGGGUAUGGCUGUUCGCCAUUUAAAGUGGUACGCGAGCUGGGUUUAGAACGUCGUGAGACAGUUCGGUCCCUAUCUGCCGUGGGCGCUGGAGAACUGAGGGGGGCUGCUCCUAGUACGAGAGGACCGGAGUGGACGCAUCACUGGUGUUCGGGUUGUCAUGCCAAUGGCACUGCCCGGUAGCUAAAUGCGGAAGAGAUAAGUGCUGAAAGCAUCUAAGCACGAAACUUGCCCCGAGAUGAGUUCUCCCUGACUCCUUGA